rnacentral:tRNA from 4 species
GCGGACGUGGCGGAACGGUAGACGCUGGGGACUUAAAAUCCUCUUCCCGUAACGGGAGUGUGGGUUCGAUUCCCACCGUCCGCACCA